UAACAUCUUAACUAAAAGCACCCCCGACACCUCUAUGGAGUCGAGCCUCGAGUUCUUCCGGAGCCCCUUAGUUCGUCUCUGUCAGCGCCACGUGAGACACCUACAAGGAGACGCCUUAAGUCAGCUCAUGAACGGUCCCAUCAAAAAGAAGCUCAAAAUUAUCCCUGACGAUGUCUCCUGGGGAGGUACGAACGUGCGCUGAUCAAGUGCGGCUUGCAGGGGCGAUGUGCGCAGACUCAGAGCCCUUAAUCCGUAGAGUGGGUUUCCUCGGUGGUGAUGGUCCAUCGUUGAGUAAAAUUGAUCUUACAGUCUGCA
rnacentral:lncRNA from 1 species